UCUUCAUUAGUAUAACGGUUAGUAUAACCGCUUCUCACGCGGUAGACCAGGGUUCAACUCCCUGAUGGAGAA
rfam:Cryptococcus amylolentus CBS 6039 supercont1.13, whole genome shotgun sequence.